rnacentral:rRNA from 1 species
AACGAACGCUGGCGGCAGGCUUAACACAUGCAAGUCGAACGCAUCCUUCGGGGUGAGUGGCAGACGGGUGAGUAACGCGUGGGAACGUGCCCUUCAGUUCGGGAUAACCCAGGGAAACUUGGGCUAAUACCGGAUACGUGCGAGAGCAGAAAGAUUUAUCGCUGAAGGAUCGGCCCGCGUCUGAUUAGCUAGUUGGUGGGGUAAUGGCCCACCAAGGCGACGAUCAGUAGCUGGUCUGAGAGGAUGAUCAGCAACAUUGGGACUGAGACACGGCCCAAACUCCUACGGGAGGAAGCAGUGGGGAAUAUUGGACAAUGGGCGAAAGCCUGAUCCAGCCAUGCCGCGUGAGUGAUGAAGGCCUUAGGGUUGUAAAGCUCUUUCGUCCGGGACGAUAAUGACGGUACCGGAAGAAGAAGCCCCGGCUAACUUCGUGCCAGCCGCCGCGGUAA